AUGGUUAAAACAAAUAAACUAGUUGCUGGAAAUAAUUUGGAGGGGGGUUUGUUGCUCUGUCAAUCACCAUUGCUGUUGCCAUUUCUUUCCCAGGUGCAGUUCUUCGGAGCCUGGGCUUUGCCUGAGAAGCUUUCAACUAUGGGUGUUCUCCUGAGAUUCCAGGUCCCCUCCAAAGAGGCAUCCCACAAAGGGUUCAGCAUCAAAUUGGUUCCACAAGGUCAUGAGGUUUUCAGAAGCAAAUGGAGCAUUUCAGGCUCAGUUUCACUAAAGAGAGAUGGGUCUUGCUACACAAGGAUAUGUCAUGUGCAAUUUUGUUUACUUGGGACUGUUUGCUAACCUCCAGCUUCAAUGAGUCAUGGUAUUUUUACUAUCAUGCUGUCCAUUCCAUAGGCUUUAACACACUCCUCCACUUAAUUAUUAACAAAGUCCAAAGGUAUCCACCCCUCUCCCACACAGAUCUUCCAGCUAAACACAGCUUUGAAACCUCUUCUUAUUUAAAAUUGUUCUUUACGGUUUGGAUAAAUACAGUGUUAGCAGUUGAUGCUUUCGUGUUGCUGCAAUGACGUCCUUCCCCACGAAGGCGCCUGCUGCUGUUUACAUUCCUUAUGUCCAAACAAGCCGGACUUGCCCACACUCCAAGAGAUAUCCUCUGGCUUUGCUCCCCGUGAUCCAGCUGAAAAUCACCUCCUUUCCCAGCGUUCCCUGCAGUCACUGAAAGAAGCUCUUCCCUCUAUUUCCUUAGCCCUCAGGUUCCCUGCCACAGUCACCUUUUCCAUGUCCUUGGUGAGGCUGGACCAGGGUUUGAUGCCAGGCUGAUUUCCAGGGUAGUGCUGAGGGCAGAAAUUCAGCCAGUGUUCCUCCCAGAUGUGAGGCACAUGCCAUGAAUUAGAUCAUGAAAUUAUUCUUAUUUUCUGCUGCUAUUUUCUAUUUUUCAGUGGAACAGGUUCCCUGAUCUGGUUCACAGCGCAGCCCAGCAAAAAGCUGGAACUGGGAAGAUUGAGGAGUGAUGCAGCAUGGCAUGAGGACAAAUAAGGUGGUACUGGAUAUUGGGAUGUUUCUGAGGCCACAGGAUCAUAAAACCUUUAUUUUGCUGGCCUGGACUAAACCUCAAUUUCUAGCCAAUAAUGAGCUUGUUAAUCUGUCUUAAAACAAUGUGUUUUCAAGUCUAGUCUGACCUCCCUCUUCUAUGGUUUUUAAUAUCCUGUUUACAAAGUAUUUUAUCAAACACUUUAAAAAAUUUUAGAAGUAUAGUCUUGCUUUAAAAAUACAUGUCUAGUACUUAGUUACAAGCAGCUCCUAUUCACAUAGCAAAGCUGGUCAGUGUGAAGAGCAGCGAGACAUACUUGAACAAGAACGUGCACAAAGUUUAAAGGGAAAGCUGGUAUCUACAAAGCAUCAGCCCUAUUAUAUGUGCUUUUGACUUUUAGAUGUGCAACGACUGAGCACAGAGUCCCGAAAUAAACUGUGUGAUUGUUCAUCCCA
rnacentral:lncRNA from 1 species